UACGUAGGGGGCAAGCGUUGUCCGGAUUUAUUGGGCGUAAAGAGCGUGUAGGCGGCCUGACAAGUCUGCUGUGAAAACUCGAGGCUCAACCUCGAGAUGUCGGCGGAAACUGUCUGGCUAGAGUCCGGAAGGGGCAAUCGGAAUUCUUGGUGUAGCGGUGAAAUGCGUAGAUAUCAAGAGGAACACCGGUGGCGAAGGCGGCGACCUGGGUAGAUACUGACGCUGAGGUGCGAAAGCGUGGGGAGCAAACAGG
rnacentral:rRNA from 1 species